rnacentral:rRNA from 1 species
GACGGGGGGGGCAAGUGUUCUUCGGAAUGACUGGGCGUAAAGGCACGUAGGCGGUGAAUCGGGUUGAAAGUGAAAGUCGCCAAAAAGUGGCGGAAUGCUCUCGAAACCAAUUCACUUGAGUGAGACAGAGGAGAGUGGAAUUUCGUGUGUAGGGGGUGAAAUCCGUAGAUCUACGAAGGAACGCCAAAAGCGAAGGCAGCUCUCUGGGUCCCUACCGACGCUGGGGUGCGAAAGCAUGGGGAGCGAACAGG